rnacentral:lncRNA from 1 species
ACAACCUUAUAUUCUAGCAACAUAUUCAUGCAAGCCAAUUAAGUGUCGACCCCUAAUUAACAAACAUAAAUAAGUUAUUACUCGCACAGUUAACCAAUUGCAUUCACGAUUCAAGAACUUAUAACUGGAAUUUAUCAAAUCAACUUGCAUACAUAGUCAUGGCUUCGAAAUUACCCCUAACCAAUAGGGGUUUAGCCACUCAUGUUCGUAGCAAAACGAAAGGAAAAGAAAUUAAACAUUGAAAUCAUAAAACGAAUUACACCUAGAAUGCACCAACGAUGAAGCUUGAGCAUCCAAGAGUCCUUCCUUCUUUCUCCUUGCUGCUGCACACGAAUGGGUGAGUUUUGGGGGUUAUGAAUGGUGUAGAACGAUGGGUUUAUGGCUGGGAUAGGUGUAUGGGACGGCUAGGGUGGUUUUUGGUCAGAAAAUAUGGUGAAUGGUGAAGGAUAGGUGCGGCAGAGAGAGUGGUGAUGUUUCUGGCGUGAAUGGGACUGAAUCGGGCAGAUUCUUGGGUAUUUGAAUGAUGUAGAAUGGAUGGAGGAUGUAUGGAAGUGUUUAGGGUUGAUGGGUGGUGCGGCUAGGGUGGUUUUGUGGCAGAAAUUUGGGUGAAUGGUGAAGGAAUGGGGCUGUUGAAGAUGGAGAAUGGUUUCUGGCGUGAAGGAUUAUUUUCUGGAUGAAUGGCUCUCUUUGUGGCUGCACAAGCAUGUUUAUUUAAAGGGAUUAGGAAAUUAAAAACCCUAGGCUAAUUAGGUAAACAGAAAUUUAAGUCAAAGGCUUCUAAAAAUAGGAAAUCAAAUCAGGAAUUAAAGGAAAUUAGGCAAGGGAAAUUCGGCUAGGGUUUAAAACAGAAAAGGAAGGUGUUUUAAAGCUUAGAAUCAGGAAAUAACCCUCUCCCUUGCACGGCAAGGAAGAGGAAAUACCAAAGGGGGUGCGGCAAGGGUUCAAAAGGUGCAAGAGAUGUGUAUUUGAUGUCCUAGAAUGCUUAGGAAGUCUUCAUAAUUGCUGGAACUUUUAGGGACAUUUAGGAAAAAUCAAACCAAAGUAGGAAACUUUGGCUUAACUUUCCUAUUUCAAGUAGGAAUCCUUGUUGGAGUAGGAAUCCUUGUUCUUCUAGGAAUCCUCAUGUGAUUAGGAAUCCAUCUUCCAUUAGGAAUCCUGCUUCAAUUAGGAAUCCUUCUUCAAUUAGGAAUCCUUCUUCAAUUAGGAAUCCUUCGUUGAUUAGGAAUCCUAAUUUCUUCAAGUCUUCAAUUCAUCCAUUCCUUUUGCUC